rnacentral:lncRNA from 1 species
UUUGAAUGGAACAUCUCUUGCUAGUCUGGUAAAGGUUUAGAAACUUGGCCUUCUAAGUAUUCAUGUAAGUUCUGUUCUGGGACCUUCAUUGUAGGAACUGAAAAUGAAAGAACCAAAAUAGAUAUCAACAGAUAAUUAAAGGAACGUUUGGAAGUUUUUUACCUCAUGCAAACCUCAAACUCUGAACCACUACUGCCUAAAGGAAAUAAAUACUGUGUUAUGGGGUGUGGCUAUAUAACACCUAUCAGCAUUCACUGACAAUUAUUGCAGUCGGCCAAGGAUUUCAAAGUGGUUGAUAACAUAUAGCAUUUAUCACACACC